UAGGGAAUCAUCCGCAAUGGGCGAAAGCCUGACGGUGCAACGCCGCGUGAGUGAUGAAGGUUUUCGGAUCGUAAAGCUCUGUUGACAGGGAAGAACCCACGCCAGUCGAACAGGCUGGCGUGCUGACGGUACCUGUCCAGAAAGCCCCGGCUAACUACGUGCCAGCAGCCGCGGUAAUACGUAGGGGGCAAGCGUUGUCCGGAAUUAUUGGGCGUAAAGGGCACGCAGGCGGUUUCGUCAGUCCGAUGUGACAGGCCACGGCUCAACCGUGGAAGGCCAUUGGAAACUGCGAAACUUGAGGACAGAAGAGGAGAGUGGAAUUCCACGUGUAGCGGUGAAAUGCGUAGAUAUGUGGAGGAACACCAGUGGCGAAGGCGACUCUCUGGUCUGUACCUGACGCUGAGGUGCGAAAGCAUGGGGAGCAAACA
rnacentral:rRNA from 1 species